rnacentral:rRNA from 1 species
CCUACGGGUGGCUGCAGUGGGGAAUAUUGGGCAAUGGGCGCAAGCCUGACCCAGCAACGCCGCGUGAAGGAAGAAGGCUUUCGGGUUGUAAACUUCUUUUAAGAGGGAAGAGCAGAAGUCGGUACCUCUUGAAUAAGCUAUGGCUAACUACGUGCCAGCAGCCGCGGUAAUACGUAGGUGGCAAGCGUUGUCCGGAUUUACUGGGUGUAACGGGCGUGUAGCCGGGCUGACAAGUCAGAUGUGAAAUCCGGGGGCUCAACCCCCGAACUGCAUUUGAAACUGUUGGUCUUGAGUAUCGGAGAGGCAGGCGGAAUGCGUAGUGUAGCGGUGAAAUGCGUAGAUAUUAGGAGGAACACCAGUGGCGAAGGCAGUCUGCUGGACAGCAACUGACGCUGAGGCGCGAAAGCGUGGGGAGCAAACAGGAUUAGAUACCCUUGUAGUC